UAGGGAAUCUUCCACAAUGGGCGAAAGCCUGAUGGAGCAACGCCGCGUGAGUGAUGAAGGCCUUCGGGUUGUAAAACUCUGUCAUUCGAGACGAACCGGAGUCUGAGGAAAUGCAGACUCUCUGACGGUACCGGAGGAGGAAGCCCCGGCUAACUACGUGCCAGCAGCCGCGGUAAUACGUAGGGGGCAAGCGUUGUCCGGAUUCACUGGGCGUAAAGCGCGCGCAGGCGGUGAUGUAAGUCUGAGGUGAAAACCCGAAGCUCAACUUCGGGACUGCCUUGGAUACUGCGUCACUUGAGGAUAGGAGAGGCAAGGGGAAUUCCACGUGUAGCGGUGAAAUGCGUAGAGAUGUGGAGGAACACCUGUGGCGAAGGCGCCUUGCUGGCCUAUUUCUGACGCUGAGGCGCGAAAGCGUGGGGAGCAAACAGG
rnacentral:rRNA from 1 species